UUAUUGACUAAAUCAGACUGCCAUUGAGUCAAUCAAAUUAAGGCCAGAACAAACCGAAUCUACUGCACUCUUGCUGACUGAACUGUUUUUUUAAGACAUGAACUUAAUAGGAUCAAAUUAAGUAGAGUUUUAAUUCAAAGUCAGGAAGAUACCUGAAACAAAGGUACUUCAGUCAUGAUGUCUAAGAGUAUCUGGAAUAGUUCUUGGCUGGCCAUUUUGAUAUGUACACACUGUGCACUUGGAAAUGAAUAAUCCUUAUUUACGCUCUGAAGACUUAUUUAUUCCCAGGUACAACUCAGGACCACAGGAAGAAGUAAAAGUUAAAAUGUUGCCACUUAGAAGCAAUGUAUUCAUUACAAUGAAAUAAGAAACAAUAUCAAGAGCAAAGAAGCAUCAUUGUUGUCUCCUGCUUCCAAGAUUAAGUCUGUAUUCUUCCUCAUUCAUUCUCAACAUGGAUCAUUAGGGACAAACUGAGAUGGUUAUACCUUGUAACUACUGCCAUUUUUGUAGUAUAAUAUUCUGUUGAAAAGUUCUCUGAUGAUUCCAAUAAUUGUUCUUUUCAGUAUUAAGAUCCUCUGGUUAUAAAUAUUUGAUAAACCCUGUAUCAAAGCUUUUAUGACUUUUGGUGAAGAAAUGGGAAAACAUUUUCUGAUUAACCAGUUUAAAAGCACAAAUAUAGAUUUUAAAGUAAUAAUGGCCUUCAUGAGAGUAUUCUUGAAAUGAAAUUCACAAUAAGUAUCUCAGUCUAGAUACAGAUGCGUUUCUGAUGUAGUCGUCUUUUAUGUGAGGGCUAUUAGUUUGCCAGCUGGUUAUACAGAAGCUAAUCCAAGCACUGAUUCUGACUCAAUACAUUUUAUUUAAAACAUUUCGUGUAUAUCACAUAACGUGAUGGAAUUAUAAUUCUGGAAAAAAGGCUCUGCAUGUGUAUGCGUGUCUGUGUGUAAAUUGCUAUGUGUAUGAGGAGGGACCUAUUCAUGUCAAUACUGUAAAAUAAGAAUUUUUAAUCAGCAUAUCUCAAUAAUUUGAAUUCUUAUCUAUAGAUAGAAUCCAAACAUGAAUGUCUCACAUGAUUUGUCAAAGUCCAUCACUGUUUAAGUCUUAGAAAUGGAAAUGCA